AGAGGAAGUAAAAGUCGUAACAAGGUUUCCGUAGGUGAACCUGCGGAAGGAUCAUUAUCGAAAUCGAAAGCCUAGGAGAAGGGGGGGACGCGAGACUGUCGCUGGCCUUUUCGGCACGUGCACGUGUCCGUCCCUCCCGCCUUCGAAGCUUUGAACCUCUCGACACCUGUGUGCACCCGCCGUAGGUCCUUCGGGAUCUAUGUCUUCUCUUCCGAACUCGCAUGUCUACAGAAUGUAUGCGUCGCGCAGGCGACUGCGAACCUUUGUACAACUUUCAGCAAUGGAUCUCUUGGCUCUCGCAUCGAUGAAGAACGCAGCGAAUCGCGAUAAGUAAUGUGAAUUGCAGAUUUUCCGUGAAUCAUCGAAUCUUUGAACGCACCUUGCGCUCCUCGGUAUUCCGAGGAGCAUGCCUGUUUGAGUGUCAUCGAAAUCUCGAACCGAAGUCUUUCGACGUCGUCGGAGCCUCGGUCUCGGACAUUGGGAGCGUGCGGGCGGCGACGUCGGCUCUCCUCAAAAGCAUUAGCUGUGGGCGUGGGCCUCGCACGGCACGGCCGCUUCGACGUCAUAAUGAUCGUCGUGGGCUGGAAGUGCGUGGGUCGACGUGGUCCCCAUGCUUCGAAACCUCCUGCGAGUCCGUCCUUUGUCCGGACGGUCGCGCGCACGAUCGAUGCUUGACCUCAAAUCAGGUAGGACUACCCGCUGAACUUAAGCAUAUCA
rnacentral:rRNA from 1 species